GCGGCCGCGGGGCUGCGGCUCCCCAGCCCCGCCAGCUGGAGCGCUCGGAGGUAGAGGAAAGGUCUUGACGGGGUGGCUGGAUCCGUGGCAGCCUCGAGUCUCCUACGUGGCUCCCCGGAGCCCUGAGACCAAGCGAGCAGUUUGCAUGAUCCCAGUUCCCGGACAAGUGGGUGUGUCAGGGCCGUUCCCAGAGGGCCGGGGCUCCUUCGCUUGGUCAAACCCUAGACUCGUUUACUGGGGCCUGGGCCGCUUGAGGCAAAACCCGCCUUGAAAGCUACGUCAGCCUAAUCCAGUUCCAGAUUCUAGACUUGAGGGUUCUGGGCUGUUGGUCUGUAGAAGCGAAGGAGAGAAGGACUCAAAUCCAGGCCAAGUGUAUGGCUGUCUGAGGUAUUGGAACAGAAGGAGGUCCAUUCCUGUUGGUGACAACACCGUGGCCCUGUUCUGGGAUGAGCAAGGUGUAAAGCAUCCCCACCCACGUAACCCACCUUCAGGAAACAGUAGCUUUAACCAAGAGAACAAGAAACUCAAUGAGCAGCAGCCUCAACAACUGGCUCUUUCCUCCUGGGUAAGGAGAGGGCAGUGGGGAAGGACGGUGCCUCAAAGGGAAGUGGAGGCGCUAUCAAUCUGGCCUAGACAGGUAGGUUGACUGCUUUUACAUGGGUGGGCUGGGGCCUGGUCUGGGACCCCUGCUCAAAAAAAAAAAAAAGAAAAA
rnacentral:sRNA from 1 species